CAACAGCAAACUUCCAGUGCUUUUUGCACAUGGAGAUGAGAUUAUUAGACAGAUGCAGAUCCAAAGAAUUCCCAGGAUGUUUGGCGAUAGCACAGAGAGAGACUUUGGGGUUGAAGAAGCCAUCAACUGUCAGUAGCUGCUUGGUUAGGGACCAGCACUUCUGGACCUCUGGCAGCGGCCUGGGACACAGAGGUGUCUUUUUAAAAUCUCACUUUAUUUUUAAAAAGUGCGCAUUUAGACCUACAUUUAGAGGGUCUUGCUUCAGCUUCUAUCAAGGAGGCUUGUUAGGAAGUGAGAAAAUUUAAUAAACAU
rnacentral:lncRNA from 1 species